rnacentral:misc_RNA from 1 species
GUAUACAACGCUGAAGCGUUCUGCAAAUGAUAACUUGCAGAGGUUAUGUCAGCAUACGAAAUUUCCCGUGAAAGAUGUGUUGCGCCUUCAGCAGUGGUUAAAAGAAAUGAAGAGGAAGGACUGGAAGCCAAACCGAAAUAGCACAUUGUGUUCGGCUCAUUUUACAAAUGACUGCUUUGAUAGGACAGGAUUCCUAAUUACAUUGAAAAAGAACAGUGUACCAACUAUAUUUGACAACCCAAAAUCAGAGUGUUCAUCUUGUCACCGAUUAAGGGAAUAUGGACGUGGCUAUUCAUUCUUCAAGUUCCCAUUGGAUGAACCUGAUAUUAUGGAGCAGUGGAUCGCAAAUAUAAACAUUGGUCCGUGGUCUCCAUCAAGUGAUAGCUUUCUGUGUUCCGACCACUUUGAACUCUCUUGCUUUCAGAAGAAAAGUAAAAAUUAUAUAACUUUACGAAAAGGCAGUAUCCCAAUGUUAUUUGGUAAGAUCUGAAACUAUUAAUCCCUUUUAGGUCAGAGAAAACUCAGUGUGCAUAAAGACACGUUGAUGUGAUGCACUAUUGCGUCAAUGUCGUCGAAGCGGUUAAUUACCUACAGAUUAUAAAGUGCUCUGUUACAGAAAAAUCGUGUGUGACACAUUUCUGUGUAUUUCCAUUGUCGUUAUUUAUUAGUAACUUAUCUGUAGGUGAAAACUUGCAGCAGACCGAAUUUCAGGAUGAAUCCGAUCGGCCCACCACAGUGAAUGUAACCAAAUUACAUGAGCACCUACACAUUUGUACCUGAUUUGCAUGCUCAGAUAUGUACAUCUUUUUUAUUUUCUUUUGAUUGUGCUUGUAACUUUUUCUUCAUGUGAAUGGAUUGUGGAUUGAUACUACUAAUUAUAUUGUUGUGGUUUAUCGCACGCAACUCUAUAAAAAUUCCUUAACGUUUGCAAGGAAUGUUUUAUUCUCCAUAUUUUUGAAUAAAGUUUUUACUCACCCAAUUCGAUAUAGUUUAAUUCAAAACUUUUUUUACAUGUCUUAAGCUCCACUUUGAUGAUCAAUGGAUGGUAAAUGGAUUCCCUAACGGUUGAAUUAGUGUUAUACAAAUUUUUGAAUAAUCCGUAUGAAAUUCAGCCCACCAUAGGAUAAAGGAUAAUGGACGGAAACUUCUUAGAAUUGAGGACUUCUUUUGAACAUAAAGAAAAAUCACGCUUAAAUACAAGUUUUUCGUCAUAUUAUUUAAUGAUCUUUUACAUCAUAUAAUUGUAAAUAAUAAUAUACCUUCGAAAAAAUGA